rnacentral:lncRNA from 1 species
AACUGCAGGCAAACUUCGUCCAGACUCCUACGGGAGCCGAACUCCGUCUCUAAACUUCAACUGCAGGUAAACUUCGUCCGGACUCCUACGGGAGCCGGAUUCCAUCCCCAACUUCAACUGCAGGAAGACUCCAUCCGGACUCCUAUGGGAGCCAGACUCCGUCUCCAACUUCAACUGCAGGAAGACCUCGUCCGGACUCCUACGGGAGCCGAACUUCAUCCCCGACUUCAAC